GAGCCUACGGCACAGCAAAAGCCGCCUAACGCGAAUAAGCACUGUCUCAUAAUCAGCCCUACCAGUAUACGCGUAACGAUUAACGAAUUAACGAUCUCUCUUCAAGAAGGCAACGCUUACUGUUGUUUGCUGAACGCCUGAACCGAAUCAUGGGUGAAGACUUGGGAUCGAGUGCUACCGCCAUCGACUCUUCGAACAUAGGGUUUCAGCUCUUGAAGAAGUGUGGUUGGAAAGAAGGAACCGGUCUUGGUGUUUCCGAGCAGGGUAGAUUAGAGCCACUACAAACACAUGUAAAGAAUAAUAAGCGUGGUCUGGGUGCAGAGAAAGUAAAGAAGAAGGUCUUACAUAUCUCUGAUGAUACUACCACUGCAAGGAAAAAUGACAAUGAACAAUUGCAACCUAGAAAGAAAACAAAGUCGGUCUCUAAAAGGGUGAGGAAGAUGCAGGAGGAAGAGAAAUGUUGGCAAGAGAAGGAAUUCGAGCGAGCCUUCUUCAGGGAAUUCUGGCCAGAUAAUGUUUAAAGACAAAAUCUGUCAUCUCUAUGCAGUCACCUCUUAGUAUCUUACAAGACAUAGGAAUUUUGUACAGGUAAAUGGCAGUCUGAACCUAUUUUGCCGCAGUUUGGCAGAUCCGACCUAGGCAACAGAGAUUGGAAAUGCUUGCCAUUUGGGAGAAGGUUCUCCAGAAAUGCAUGGAGGCCUCGGCAUCUUAAAAUUGGUCAUAAGAUUAAACUAGUACUGGAUCAGAACAGGGACUUACAGUUCUGAUUAAGUGGACUUUUGGGGGGUUUGGGACAAGAAUGGUCUUGAGACAUUUGCAGGUGAUUUUGUGGUCUGUUAUCAAGCCUUGUAAAAAUCCUUUUUUUUUUUAUGGAAUCAGAAAUCAAGAAGAGCUAUGGCAAUUGAUUCAACAUGUGAAGAAGAGUUUUUCAGCAAGAUGAAAAAAUGAGUUAAAAUGUUCCAGCAGUAUGAAAAAUGGAUCGGAUAAAGGGCAACUUUUGCACCAGUAGCUUGAGGCGGCAGCAUAGAGGAUAAAUUGAUGAUGAGAUAGAAGGUCUAGAGGCAUCCAUGUGUUUUCUGCAGAAAGCUGGCUUUGAAGACAGCUAUGAAAUGAGAAUGAGAUGGGAUAAACGAGCCAGGUCUUAGAAGCACUAACCAGGCUGACCGCUGACCAGGUUGCUGUUAAGUGCAGCCUGGCCAAACACUUCCAACAUGAUGUAUGUUGUCUCUAGCAUGGUUGUACUGGCAUAGACAUGAUAUAAAGUAGAUGUUAUAAUGUAAUAUGCCUACUUGGAGAGUAAGUUUUUUUCUUGGUUA